GUUUACUGCACGCGCUCACUGAGGGGCCUCUCUCCAGCUGUAACAUUUUCCUGACAUCCUCCAGAGUGAAGCUGUCAGGGGUUGAUUACAUCUUCACAUCAUAGAGGAGAGGAGUCCUCGCCCAAAGUAUAACGGCGUCGUCUUACGUUUCACGCCUGUCUCCUCCGACCGCGACCCCGUGACCCCGCAGGUUGACGGGAGAGAGGAAGGAGGAGGAGGUGUUGACAGAGGAAGUGGAGGAGUCAGGCGAGUCACUGGAGUGAAUCGCGCCAUGUCGGGCCACCAGACUCCUCCAUCUGCUAUCAGAACUACGCCUGUCUGCUUGAGACGGUGGGAGACCGACUUCGCCUCUCCUGAUGCUAGCAGCCAUAUUCGUGUCCCACUGUGAUGUAUGGAUUAGCAAAAGCCAUCCUGACAAUCAGCGGCACAGCCGAGACAGCAAACAUCCUCAUGAAUCCACUCACCACAUGCUGGCCUCUGUGUAAAAAUAAAAUAAAACAAUCUGAAUGAAUCUCCAUAAAGUU